rnacentral:rRNA from 1 species
AUUGAACGCUGGCGGCAGGCUUAACACAUGCAAGUCGAGCGGGGGAAGGUAGCUUGCUACCGGACCUAGCGGCGGACGGGUGAGUAAUGCUUAGGAAUCUGCCUAUUAGUGGGGGACAACAUCUCGAAAGGGAUGCUAAUACCGCAUACGUCCUACGGGAGAAAGCAGGGGAUCUUCGGACCUUGCGCUAAUAGAUGAGCCUAAGUCAGAUUAGCUAGUUGGUGGGGUAAAGGCCUACCAAGGCGACGAUCUGUAGCGGGUCUGAGAGGAUGAUCCGCCACACUGGGACUGAGACACGGCCCAGACUCCUACGGGAGGCAGCAGUGGGGAAUAUUGGACAAUGGGGGGAACCCUGAUCCAGCCAUGCCGCGUGUGUGAAGAAGGCCUUAUGGUUGUAAAGCACUUUAAGCGAGGAGGAGGCUACUUUAGUUAAUACCUAAAGAUAGUGGACGUUACUCGCAGAAUAAGCACCGGCUAACUCUGUGCCAGCCGCCGCGGUAA